GAACUCUCUCGCCCACUCGAUUUCGCUGUUUGUUUUGUUUUGCCGAUCAUCGUCGCCGUUCGCUCACACCCAUUAUCCCUUCCUCCUCAUACUCAUCUCCUUCUCGACAUCAUCACUGCUAUGUACGUGCAUACGUCCACCUAUACUUAGUCCUAUAAGCAUCUGCACGCUGCCACCUUUCCUUUUUCUGUUCCCUGUUCUUGUCAACUGUCCCUUACUUCGUUUCUCCCCCUCCUCAAUCUCUCCCUUUCCUUCAAGCCCGCCUAGGCAUUCCCUCCCCUCCGCCUCUGUAAGCUUGUGUGUGUGUGUGUGUGUGUGUGUGGGAGUAGGUGGGUGAACCACAUCAUCAUCUCUUAUCCCUCCCCCUCUCUCCAUCCUUCUUCGAUCUCUUCCACUCUUCAAGUCGGCUUGACUGGCAUUUUGCUUCCACAGUCGAUGUCCAUCUCCUUUUACCACCCCACACCAUAAGCCCCACCCACAUACGCACCAGAGUCCUUCAAAGUCACCGCACACCGCCAUGGGUACCCUUCGUACGUUUAUCGGUGUCAUCAUCGCCGCGGUUCUCCAGCUUGCUGUGUUUCUCUUUGUCAUUGUCGCCACGCCAAUCUCGCAGCUCGACGUUAAGAAUGGUUCAGGAUGUUAUACCUUCGUCGGAUACAAAAAGGAGUGCAGCUUAUCUGCUCUUUCCGCGACAGGAACGGCUGCCUUUGGUUGCAAGCAGCGCCGCGACAGCAUGAGCACUGGCGCCGCCUUCGCCAUUAUCUCCAUCCUCACAACGCUUGCGGCGCUUGUGUUUAUCGCUCUAAUGCUGCUACGCAUCCCAUGCGCGAUGUUCCCUCCUCUCCUCUUCACCUGCCUAUCUGCUUUCACGAUCUUGAUCAGCUGGGCUUGCGUGGCCAGUGUGUACAGCAUCAGCAUGUGCAACGGCCCCUUCUACCGCUUCGUCCGCUACGGCCCUGGCUUUGGACUUAUGGUGACGGCGUGGUGCCUUCAGGUUAUCAACGUGGUAGUGCUCUUUAUGCUUUUCUUCGGCUGAGAGUGAAAGGGAGGGAAGAGCAAGAUAUUCAAAGCAGCGAGUGAUAGGCUAGCGUCUCCUGGUGCAGCCACCCACCCACCCACACACACCCACCCACACACACGGAUAGAAGUUGGGUGGAACGGGAUACCCUCUUCUUUGCUGGUAUCGUUGUGGUAGUGGGAGUGUUUCUGGCUGACGCCCCUCUGCCUCUGGUCGCCUCCCCCCUACACUAUAUAGCAACACGUGUGCAUAUAUCGUCAGCAUUGCCUUUUUUGUCGCUCUUUCGUUAGUGUGUGUGUGUGUAAUGACCAUCUCUGUGUCUGAUACUGUUCGUUUCUUCCUCUGUAUCACUGCCUCCAUCAUGGAAAAGGGGGGAGGCACACACCCCUCCCAGUGCGUGGUAUCGCAGGGUCCAGUGCCCCCACUCUGUCUGGGGAGGCCGAGCAGCCCCCCCCCCUCCACUAUCUCCGCCAAAGGCCAGCCCGCUUCUCGUGGUGACAGAGUCAUGCACCGACGACGUAGGGGGAGGUCGGAGUGAGUCACCGCCACUGCUGUCGGCGGUCAGGUCCUGGAUGGCGCUGCGGUGGGGGCACCUGCAACAGUGAGCACGCUUGUGCCAUCCGUGUGGUGGGUGGAGCUCCGGCGUGACUCUGGCGUGCCCCCCACCCGGCCCUCACACUGCCUUGCUGGUGGGGGAGCCUGGGCCACCGCGGGCGGGAUGCGGCGGGUGGGGACGGGCAUGGUGGCGGUGGGGGGGCGGCUGUGGGGCGGCCUGCGGGGUCAGGGGCGAGUAGAUUGUGAGGCGCGGGGUCCGUGCUGGGAUGACCGGGUCGGCGCACUGCUGCACUGGCGUGUCUAGCGCUGCUUCGCAUCACACGACGGGGCCUGUGGGAGGGCCGUGUCGAGCGGAGUCUCUCUCUUCUAGGGUAGAAUGGGCACCUUGAGUAAAAUCUCUUCUUGUCGAAAAUGUAUUUUACCCUCGUAUUGGGAGCAAUGGGUGUCACGGCCGCUCCUUCGGGCGGCUUCCAGUUGCAACGUACGGGUCUAUCUAGGUGUGUGCGUGGUAGUUCUCUUCCCCCCCUCUCCCACCUCCUUCUAAUAUUGGAGAGAGAUUUCAACUGGCUUUACUAUCUUGUCUGUGAUCUCAGGUCAGUUCCACCCCGUUCAGCCCUCUCCCCAUCAUGUCCGCCACCAGGUGCAGCAUGAUGGGCAAGGAAGGGUGGACGUCGCACCUUCGUAGAAUUUGUCAAAAUGAUAAUCAGCAUUGCUGUAAGAGCGGAAUACAGAAGUCAGUUUCUCCUCCCUAGCGACGUCCAACACGUCGAUGGCAUCGCCCACAUAGGGUUAGAAACAUGGAAUGGGUUCCCCUACUCAACAGCUGCCUUCUCAUCCUCUUUUCAUCUCCGUCUGAUCUCACACGUGUGUGAUGGCAGG
rnacentral:misc_RNA from 1 species